GAAGUUUAACAGACAAUCGCCGGUGUCGCGUAAGGCGGCACGGGAGGAAAGUCCGGGCUUCGUAGGGCAGGAUGCUGGAUAACGUCCAGUCAGCGCGAGCUGAAGGAUUAGUGCCACAGAAAUGGACCGCCGAUGGCCGCCUUCGGGCGUGCACAGGUAAGGGUGGAACCGGAGUGUAAGAGACUCCGAGGGGCGCUGGUGACUUCGUCCCUGGUAAACCCCAUCCGGAGCAAGACCUAAUGAAACGCAGUUCCUGGCUUUGCCGGAAACAGCCCUUGCCCGGGGUGCGUUUAGGUUGGUCGCUUGAGCCGUUUAGCAAUAAACGGCCUAGACAGAUGAUUGUCGCUCAAAGCGGGAGGGUAGUUCCCGUCUGUACCGCAAAGCAGCACAGAACCCGGCUUACGGUAAACUUUCCGA
rnacentral:RNase_P_RNA from 2 species